UACGUAGGAGGCAAGCGUUGUCCGGAAUCACUGGGCGUAAAGAGCGUGUAGGCGGCCAGGUAGGUCUGCUGUGAAAACUCGAGGCUUAACCUCGAGAUGUCGGCGGAAACCAUCUGGCUAGAGUCCGGAAGAGGAGAGUGGAAUUCCUGGUGUAGCGGUGAAAUGCGCAGAUAUCAGGAGGAACACCGAUGGCGAAGGCAGAUCUCUGGGCCGUAACUGACGC
rnacentral:rRNA from 1 species